AUGAGUUCACACACUGGGAAUGUGCUGCUGUCAGGAAGGGCCACUCAUUUACAGCCUGCAUACACCAUACAGCCAACUCUAACCUACACAAGAGAUGAAAGAGGAAUUGAGUUUGCAAAAGCAAGGCUGUUACUGGAUAUUCAGAAAACAGAAAGGUGCUGGAAAAGAAAGACUUUGGCAAAUUUAAUGGAGUAUUUAGUAGGGCAAUGCAAGCUCAAGGAACAGGCAGUACCCCUAGGAACUGGGGCAUGGGGACCAUGCUGGCAUGGAGUGAAGGAUUCAGUUCUGGGCUUCUGGACCUUGCUUGGAUUCCAGAUCGUCCCAUGA
rnacentral:lncRNA from 1 species